AAUGAACGUUGGCGGCGUGGAUUAGGCAUGCAAGUCGUGCGAGAAGUCUUUUGCUUGCAUUAGACGGAAAGCGGCGAAAGGGAGAGUAACGCGUGGGUACCUACCUCUAGGUUCGGGAUAGCUGCGGGAAACUGUGGGUAAUACCGAAUAACAUCUCCGGAUCAAAGGUGUGAUUCCGCCUGGAGACGGGCCCGCGUCCUAUUAGCUUGUUGGUGGGGUAAUGGCUUACCAAGGCAAUGAUGGGUAUCGGGCGUGAGAGCGUGACCUGACUCACUGGGACUGAGACACUGCCCAGACACCUACGGGUGGCUGCAGUCGAGAAUCUUCGGCAAUGGGCGCAAGCCUGACCGAGCGACGCCGCGUGCGGGAUGAAGGCCCUCGGGUUGUAAACCGCUGUCAGUUGGGAGGAAAUCACAUGGGGUUCUCUCCAUGUGUUGACCUAUCUUCAGAGGAAGGACGGGCUAAGUUCGUGCCAGCAGCCGCGGUAAUAC
rnacentral:rRNA from 1 species